UCUGGUGUUCGCGUGAGUUAUCGUUUCCCUGGCGUAGUGGGACUGGAAGAAUAUUAUCUUGAUGGUUUAUUGAUGCUUACAGUACUCCUGGGUUUUCUUUAUGUACAGGAAGACUUUGUAUUUAUAACUGGUAAAAAUGCGAUGCAACUUCAACAAAUUCGUGUUGCAAAAGUUAUUGGAAACUUGUUGAAGAGGGAGUGAUGUUGUUGGAGACUUGUUGAAGAGGGAGUGAUGUUGUUGGAGACUUGUUGAAGAGGGAGUAAUGUUGUUGGAGACUUUUUGAGAGGGGGUUAUGUUGUUGGAAACUUGUUGAAGAGAGAACAAUGUUGUUGGAAAAUUGUUGAAGAGAGAGAAUAAUGUUGUUGGAAACUUGUUGAAGAGGGAGUAAUGUUGUUGGAGAUUUGUUGAAGAGGGAGUUAUGUUGUUGGAGACUUGUUGGAAAACGAACAAGUUUGUUGGAAACUUUACUGAAGAGCGUGACUCAUUAAAAAAAAGGAAAAACUAUUCGAGUGCGCCAGAUAACGUAUCAGAACAAACAAUGACUUGAUUCCAGUGUCUAGACAUUCAAUUCUGUAACUUGACCGAUGGAAGAGAUGAAAAAUUUACGAAUAAUACGUUUAUUUUGACAUUUGUUUUAACAUUUAUUUUGGGACUAUGCUUGUUGUUAAUCUACAACUCUUCUUGACUGGAUCUCUGUUAAUAAUAUUAUCGUCAGGGGCCAUGGGCGACUCAACCAUCUCGGCGUCCACAGAAGUCUUGACGACCACGAGUGACCCCAUGACAGGUAUGACUGCGAGCAACGCAAGCAACGUGACAGAUGCAUGUUGCAACAAAAACGAGGACUGUUUGGAUGCUAACAGUCACUGUUUUAACUGUACGUGCUUGUGCAAGGAUGGCUACGUCCACUCGACAAAUGUCACAUUCCUCCUGCCUUCGGCGGACAUCAACGGGACUUGCCUCCCCUUGGUGCAAAUCUACGUAGGACAGAACUGCUCCGUACAAGAGGACUGCGCCGGUGGUCUCCUCUGUAGGGAAGGCUCGUGUUCCUGCCCCUCGUCUUGCAAAUUCAAGAAGACUGACUGUCCUGUGACUGCGUUUGGGAAAUGCCAGACGGACUAGGGACAGCCAUAGCAAUCAUUUUCUCCAUAUUAAUCAUGGUGUUUUGGUUCUUCUGCUACAAGGAGGGGGCCAGUCGUUACAUAAUAAGGCGCAGCCGAGGCCGGCGGCCAGCCGAGAGGAGACCCAGCCGAGGCAUCUCGACUCUCGGCGCCGCCUACGGGACGGACCACAUCCGGAUCCAGCCCUGGAAAUCGCAGACGGUCUACUCCUCGCCUUUCAGAAAUCCUCAGACUAUAGCCCCGGCUUCUCCCCAUCUUCCAGGAUACAACGUCUACGGCCACAACCUACAGAACGCCUACCAUUCCAGUCUACUCCUGUUGUCUCCGCCAUACGCUGGUCCAGUCACCGCGUCACUUCCAGCCUAUUUUCACCACCUGUCUGGCUCCGCUGUCACGAUUCCUUACGUGUCCAUGGCUGAAGUGUGCCCAGACGAUGACCUUGGCCAAGAAAGCUGGGAGGGUAGUCGUCAGGGUAGUCAGCCAGAUGGCCUCGACCAGCAGCUGACCUUCCCCAUAGUGCUGCCUUCUACCAAGGGCUCCUCUUCGGCGCCAGGUAGCCACGUGGAGAUGAUUAUCGAAGGCCUAAGGCCAAAUCGCUCCGCGAGAUUUUGAAGUGGGGUUUCGAUGCUUCCGUUUUACAGUGUAUAUAUCAAAGUUAUAGACUCAAGUGAUAUAUAUAGUCUUGUUGCUCCGAUGUCCAUUGUAUACCUACAGGAUCCUCUAAAUUCGUGAAUCAUACUAAGUUAUAUAGGCCAAUAGAUUCCAAUUCACCUGUUGUUCAUUGUACAAGAGAAUUAAGAGUAUAUAUAGAAUUAUAUAAGCGAAUUCCACAGGAAAAUGAUAGGCAGAAAUCCAAGCGCUUUCGUCUUUACUAAGACAUUGUCAAGAGUAGAUAUAGAAUUAUGUGAUGCGCAUAGAUUUCAUUCUAUUUAUCGUAUACGAGGUGCAGAAGACUAUAGAAUACAGAAUCACACGAAACAGGAUUUUCUGUAUUUGUGUGUAUAGUUUUGCAAGACUUUUGCAAAUUAGAUAAAAUAAUAUUUUACUAUUUAACGGCACAAGUAUUCACUUAGUUUGUGAUUAAUGUAUUCGUUUAGUCUGUGAUUGGGUUGUCCAAUGCGGAGUCUGAAUUAGGUGCUAUGACCAGUGAGUUGGGUUUCAGGGAAAGAACGUUUCAAAAUACACCAACAGCUGUCAGAAGUUAGCUGCCCUGAGGAAUUCGCCAGAUGAAUAUUUCCACAAACUUCCAGCAAAAUUCAUUCAGAUAUCCCUGAGAAGUUUUGUUAAAUGAAGACAUUAGACUAGGAAUUUUAUUUUGGCUACAACCAGCAUGUGGAAUAGUUUGACUUGUGCAGUUGUGGAGUCUUCUGUGCUCUCUCUCUCUCUCUCUCUCUCUCUCUCUCUCUCUCUCUCUCUCUCUCUCUCUCUCUCCGUAGGCUGAAUUCCUACCUUCGGAGCCCUCUUGGAUUGAUAUUAAUCCGCUGUCCAUAAUCAUGGCUUUCAGCUGAAGAUCUAAGGAUAGAAAUUCAUGGAUGAGAAGCUGAGAACGCAGCCUUCCCUAGACCCAACCUCAUUGUCAAAGACCGUAGAAAACGUAGAAAACGCGCCGAAGUUUCUAUUAAUCCCGGCCGCUACAGCGUACAAUCAAGGUCACCGAAAAUAGAUAUAUUUUUCGGUGGUCGCUGCCACUGUAUAAUGCUGUAAGAGCCGCGGCCCAAGAAACUAACGGCCAGGUGGUGGCCUAUCAUGUAGGUACCCAUAGCGCUGCCAGAAGAACGAUUAUAGCUAACUCUAAACCUUAAAUAAAAACUACCGAGGCUAGAGCUGCAAUUUAGUAUGUUUUGAUUGGAGGGUGGAUGGUCGGCAUACCAAUUUGCAGCCCUCUAGCCUCAGUAAUUUUUAAGAUCUGAGGGCGGACAGAAAAAAGUGCAGAUGGUGAAUCAGCCGACACAAUAGUUUCCUUUUCAGAAAACUAAUAAAAAACGACAAUAAAUAGUCACGUUUUCCGUCCAUUUUGCCGUUCUGUAAAAUAGCUUAUUUGUAUAGCGAGAAUCUGUGAUUGAAGUUAAACGCGUUGUACAGUAAGUUCCAGAAGUGAAGCGACAAAGCUCAGAACUGAUCGUACUUCUUUAGAAAUUCUUGUGGGGUUGCCAGUUAGUAUAUUCUAUUCCAAUUAUUGUCAUCCUAUUUAUAUGAUAAUACGUAUCAGUGAUUAACUGUAUAAGCACAGAAAAUAUUUCCUCAGUGAUUGAUCAAUGUUAGUUCAAUAAUUGUUUAUUAAAUGGAAAGAAAAUUCCCCAUAGAAUCAUCUGCGGCUCUCAAUGUGUGAUAUCAAGUGUUCAACAUAGAGUGACAGCAGGAACCGAGUGCAUAAGCAUUGGCCUAAUAUAAUUUGUAAAUUAACUUUCUACUUUUAUAGCGUUAUAUCGAAAGUUAUUAUGAUUUCUUUUGAUAAAGCACUGAGAAGUUUAGCAUCUGAUUAAAUGAAAUAUAAAUAAGACAAAAGUUUGUGUAAAAAAAAACCCAAGUAUAUGCGCGUUUAGCGUUGGCUACAUGGUUAGGCCUAUUUCAAGAAUCAAGGAAAUAUAUUUUCCAGCUUGUUAGAUAAUAAUUUCAUCGAAUUCCUCAAUUGUGCAAAUUUUUGCACGUGGAAUUGCG